CAUUUCCCACAUUUUCAGAAAAACCUUCCCCCUCCCCCUUCUCUCUCUUCCCUUUUCUUUGCUAAACCCUAGCGCCGCCUACAAAAAUUUUCUCUCUCUAUGCCAAAAAUGGAAAAAUUUCAUAGCAAUGGUAGUCGCAUGCAGCUUUACCAUGUCCAUUUUGGUGAAAGCAUUAAAUAUCAUACCCGAAUUCGUGGUUUCAAGUCGCGAAUAUGAGUCCAGCCAACCUGUUGGGCCUUUCUUUCAAGUCGAUUAAAGUCUAAAAUGGAAGCUAAUAUUAUGAAGGCCCAACCAUCGGUGAGAAUGGCACGAAGGCCCAGCUAUGGGUAAAAAUGGUUUUUUUAGGGGGUUUCGUACACCCCUAACUCAUUUCUUUCCUCUUUCAAUUCCAAAGAUGCCAAUCUAUUCUUUUCCUCGAAAUGUUGUACUUGUACAAACCCAUAUUAUUAUUGGAGUCUUUACUUUUG